rnacentral:rRNA from 1 species
CAGUAGCCGCGGUAAUACGAAGGGGGCUAGCGUUGCUCGGAAUUACUGGGCGUAAAGGGAGCGUAGGCGGAUCGUUAAGUUGGGGGUGAAAGCCCGGGGCUCAACCUCGGAACUGCCUUCAAUACUGGCGAUCUUGAGUAUGAGAGAGGUGUGUGGAACUCCGAGUGUAGAGGUGAAAUUCGUAGAUAUUCGGAAGAACACCAGUGGCGAAGGCGACACACUGGCUCAUUACUGACGCUGAGGCUCGAAAGCGUGGGGAGCAAACAGGAUUAGAGACCCCCGUAGUCCCUGUCUCUUAUAC